rnacentral:rRNA from 1 species
GAUGAACGCUGGCGGCGUGCUUAACACAUGCAAGUCGAACGAAGCACUUUAUUUUAUUUCCUUCGGGACUGAUUAUUUUGUGACUGAGUGGCGGACGGGUUAGUAACGCGUGGGUAACCUGCCUUGUACAGGGGGAUAACAGUUGGAAACGGCUGCUAAUACCGCAUAAGCGCACGGCAUCGCAUGAUGCAGUGUGAAAAACUCCGGGGGUAUAAGAUGGACCCGCGUUGGAUUAGCUAGUUGGUGAGGUAACGGCCCACCAAGGCGACGAUCCAUAGCCGAGAGGGGGGGGGGACCGGCUACGAUGGGGAUGCGACACGGCCCAAAACCGGACGGAAGGGAGCAGAGGGGAAUAUUGCAGAAUGGGCGAAAGUGUGACGCAGCGGCGCGGGGUGAGCGAAGAAGUAUGUCGGUAUGUAAAGCUCGAUCAGCAGGGAAGAUAAUGACGGUACCUGAAGAAGAAGCACCGGCUAAAUACGUG